UACAGAGGGGGCAAGCGUUGUUCGGAAUUACUGGGCGUAAAGGGCGCGUAGGCGGCCUGUUAAGUCGAACGUGAAAUCCCCGGGCUCAACCCGGGAACUGCGUCCGAUACUGGCAGGCUUGAAUCCGGGAGAGGGAUGCGGAAUUCCAGGUGUAGCGGUGAAAUGCGUAGAUAUCUGGAGGAACACCGGUGGCGAAGGCGGCCACCUGGACCAACACUGACACUGAGGCACGAAAGCGUGGGGAGCAAACAGG
rnacentral:rRNA from 1 species